rnacentral:lncRNA from 1 species
CGGCACUUUGAGCCAAUUUCUCCCUUGGAGAAGGCCUCUGGGGUAGAACCCCACUGUCUUGUAUCUUGGCAGCUACAAAGCGCAUAACUCCUAGAGCUCCGUCCGCGAGGCAGCGUGAGCUCAGAGCUGCGUCCCCCGCGGCGCCUGUCGUGGUACGCCCCGCUCCAUUUCCUGUUCGCGGCGCGGACGGCCCGCCCUUUCCUCAGCAGACCCGUGCUGCAGGUCCCUCCUCUUGGUCGUGUUGGUGGCUGGCGUGUGAGUACCGCGACCCCGUCGUAAGGAGCGCACGCGCCGGAGAGGUCCUACGGGCCAGCGCGAGUGGGCCAGCGUGGACCGCCACAUGGUCCAAGGCGACGGCCGCCCUGGGCGCAGACCCCGCGCGCCUCUUGCUGAGCGCGUGGUCAGACGCACUGCGUGGCGGGCGGCCCAACCUGGAACCCGCCCUGAGAUUGGUGGGGCCGCUGGGUUUGGGGUCUGACUUCGUCCUCGUGGGAACCAUAGCACCCAUCUGCCCCAGCUGUUGUUCGUGCUUGUAAUCCUUGCGUUCGUCCAGCACGUGUUAAAACACCUACAGCACACCGAGCUCUGGUCAUAGAGGGGAGGACACUGGUGCAACCUUUGCGAGACUUAGAUGGUUCCCAAACACGCGAGAGAGUAAGGAGUAAUGUACUCUGCUGAGUGGUUCGAAAGAAACAGUUUUGGUGUAGAUAGGUGGUCUGGGUGGAGAGGGGACGUUGAGAGGGACUGUCGUGCUGUUCCUAGGAAAUGAACACUUUCAAAAGGCGUAAGCAGAAGAGAGAAGGCAGAGACUUAUAGCUGAGCAAGUGAGGUGGGGGGACUUCGGGUUGCUUAUUGAGUGAAGGGCCCCUCUUAGCAAAAGAACGCUGAAGCUAAACUUUGGGGUGUUCCCUACCAGUUUGGGAGGGAUGCUUCUUAAUGUUGCCAGAGGCUGAAGGAAAUGAGAUCUCCAGCUGUUGGUUUUCCUUUCCUGAAACUGUGCCCGGCUAGGAGUGGGAGAUGGCAAAAGACAGAUGUGACAGGAGCUCCCAAGUUUCCCUGAGAAAUGCUUUCUCACCUUGUCCCUGGCACAGGUCCAGCUGAGCUCCUAGGCCUUUUUACGAAGGGGUCUUGAGCCAACCCUGUGUGUCAGCAGAAUCAAGGAUCUACCAGGAAGAAGAAGGACCUCUUAAAGGAGGGCAGGUCCCCUUCUAAGCUGCAUGGUGACCAGUUCAGGCUGCUGUUUUUCUUAUCUUGGAGUUAAGGGACAGCAGCAAUUUCCUGCGGGCUACUGGGGUGGUGUGAGUGGAGAAAGACCACUGGUACCUUCUUGCCUGGGAUUACUCUGAAUGGCUUCCUGCCCUCUGGAGGAGCCUGAUAAGUAUAAACCUUGGAGAGCUGGGUAAGGGAGCAGGGCUCAGCACAGGUGGGCACAUGUGCUUGAAGAGAGCUUGGUGGUUGAAGAGAGUGUCUCUGGGGUGUUGCUGCUGCUGUCAGCGUUUCUGGGGCUGAGGGCAGGAAAUGAGACAUUAAGCCUUUGUAGGGCCCUUGUCUUGUGCCAGAAUUCUAAGAUGACAUGUGCAUGUUGGGAAUUGCAAAAAAUGCAUUUGUGUGAAAUGCUGGUGUCGAGCCCUUCACCUCACUGACUUGGCAGCAUUCAGUGGCCAUAACACUUGGAGCCUUAAUUUUCCCACAGUGUAAGAUAUCACACUCUUGUCCCCAGCUAGGUGUUCUCAUUCCUGUGUGAGGACACACCUGUCUUAUAGUCAGGUGUAUAUGUGGGGAAGAGUCGGGAAAGCAGGAGGCACCUAACAGGCCCCAUGGCUGAGUUGGGCCGAUUGAUGGGUCAGCCCAGGGUACUGUGGACUGGGACAGAAAUAGAAGUGACAGAGAUGGCAUUUGAGGCAAGAAAGCUGUUGGGGCUGGCCAGGCCUGGGGUGGGGUGGCUUAGUUAGCUCCAGUGUGCAGGGAAGCAUCUUAGUAGAAACUUGGUGCUGUGGAGUUUCAGCCUGUGAAAAAAGGUCAGAGGCUUCAUUCCCAUGCAGAGAUCUGCUCUUUCCCAGGUGGCUGCAUGCCUGUCCUGAAUAAAAAAGCCCCUUCCUCUGGCAUCCUUACCACAUUUCAAGUGCUAGCAGCUGCCCUUUUGGACAAGGAAUAUGUCGAAAAUUCUCUUGGACAGCACUGAUCCACAGACUCAGGCCAGCCCAGAGAGACAUGUUGCUGGAGUAUAGUCGAACCAGCUGACCCCAUCCUCAGCGAAUUUCCACUCUGUGUUGGAGGGUGGACAGUCUGGGAGCCCAUCAGUGUGGGUGGCGAAUGGGGUGACAUGCCAGAGGAUGGAAGGUGUGGAGGGCAGGGCCUGGGAGCCCUCUCUUCCUCUUCCAUCUGCCCUGGUACAGGGAGACCUCCAGGCCCUUGCCACUGUGGUGGAUGUAGCUGUGCCAGGUCAUGCCCUCAUCUUCCUCAGGGCACAGCACUUCAGGAGGGUCCUUCACAGGGGCUGCUGCCAGGUUCCAGGUUAGCAAAUGACAUGGCCCCAUACCCCAUAUCCUCCCUUCAGCAGAAUAGAUGUGGCCUGGCCAUGGGGCCUCACACAUACUUCAGAGGCUGCGUCUGCCUCCGCCAGUGAGCUCAUUCAUUUGUUAAGUUUCUUAUGAGAUUUUUCUUGUACAGGUUGCUGGGCUGGACAGCCCCACAGGGCUGUUGGGCACCUCUUACUAGGACCAAGGGCCCGUUAAGCUGUCUGCAUCCUGGAACGCCCCCGAGACUGGGCCCCUUCCACCUCUCACAGGAGAGACCUUGGCAGGAGUCCAGCCUGCAUCCCUAAGUGGAGCAAGAGCUGCUCAGGCCGCUUCCCUUGUCUGGCAGCUGGCCUUCUUCCCUGUGCUUCAUUCUCUUGGCAAGCUCUGCUGCCUGGAUGAGCCUCAGAAGGGCCACCUUGAGUAGGGAUGCAGCUGGUGCUCAAGAACCUCGUUGCUUCCUGUUCCUGGCUGACCUUCCGGACAGCUGUGGUCUUGUACGUACGUGUGUGCUCCAGGGAAUAGCUGAUCUCAUGCAGCCGACAUAAGAGCUGUGUUUUGAGGGAUGAUGGGGUGAGGCUGCCUCAAGUGUGCAGGCAGCUGCCUGGGAUUUGGGUGGUACAGGUGUGUUCAAUGCUCACCUUCUGACCCAUGUCACCUCAGCAGCUUCCGAAAGGCCAUCCAGCCUGCUCGGGCUGCCCCAGCUGCUGCCUGGCACGGCUGGCUUUCCCACUGCUCUAACCUUGAUGCUUUUCCUUCAUGCUGUCCUAGGAGGCCAAAGCAGAAGUAAGUACACCUGUCUGGUGCACCACCUCUCUUCUCCUGCUCCAGGGAGCCCCCCAGCCAUCCCCUUGCUGCCCGUGAGGAUUUGGGCUUGCUGGAGGGCGGGGGGCAGCAGUGUGGCACUAAGCAGGGUCCUGGCCUGGGACAGGCAGGUGGCAUGCAGCCCCCUGCAGGGUAUUGGCAGCCACAUGUGAAGAUGUGGCCUUAAGAAGUGUUCCUUGUUGGCAUGUACCUUGGAGGUGGCUUCCCCUCGUUGAACUGCAGCUCCUGCCCCAGGAAGAGCCCCUAGGUCCUGGUUUUGGGUCAUUUAGGCCAGUAAGGUUUGGCAGGGUGUGAGUUCUGGGGCCAGCUUAGUGGGCGUUGUUGAAGGGACAGGGAUCAGCUCCAUGGGUGCUGAGCAGCUGGUGGGUCCUAGGGGUUUGAUGUUGGGGAGGUUAGAGAACAGACAAGUCCCUGCUGCGUUGACACACACAAGGCCAACUCUACUGCCUCUUGGCAACAGUGGGUGAUGUCACAGUGCCCUGCCUCCUGGGCUCCGGGCUUCACACUCCUGCCUCUGCCCUGGCAGCCUGGCCUUGGUGAGUGAGGGGUGGCCCAGGGAUUCCCUGUCUGAAUCUCUAUGGCUCCUGGUCUCCUUUUUGUGAUGGAGGGAGCCUAGUGGGUGUCAGGAUAGGACAGGCAGGGCUUCCUGAAGUCUACUACAUGGGUGGAAUUUAGACAACUAAGCACCCCCAGGACAAGGGAGGUCAGACUGUGAUUUUUGUUGUGGAUACUAGGAAAGGGUCCUGGACAGUGGUUUAGGUUUGCUGUCCAGCCACAGGCUGCUGCCCUCCUGGGUGAGGACCAUUAGGUAGCAUGAUUACACAGAGGUCCUGGAACCCGUCAAGUCUGUUUUCCCCUAGGCUGCUCCCUGCAAACCCACAGAAGCAGUGGGGCAGUGGUGCCCCUAUCUGUAGUCAGCUUCUGUGGGUUGUUAGUUGAAUCUGGCUUAGAAGGAAUCCAGACAGAGAUGGCUAUGGGGCAGGGCAGCUGAGCACAUGGCCGAUGCUUACCUACAUCCUCUGAGCAACUUGCCUCCUGGCUUUUCGGGCUGGCUGGCAGAGUCUCUGUGGCCUUCCCUUUUCAUGGCAUGGUACCUGGGGGCAGACUGUGGGCUUCUGUGCUCCUGGAAGGAUGCUGGGGCAGCAGGGGCAUGACAUCAUGUGGCUGCUGGUGAAUGCAUCAGACCCAGGGCCCUGUCUCGCACAGCUUGAGGGAACACCCAGGCCAGUAAGAAGGCUGAAGCCCCCAGGGAUGACUCUUGCCUCCACUGGCCACAGUACCAACUGAGGACAUAGUGACAGCUGGCUGAGCAGCCUGGGCUCUGGUUCCUUCCCUUUAGGACCAGUUGUUCGCACCCUCCCUGGUGUGUCCUGUUGAUGUUAUCAUUUGGGGAUGGACACUUGACCUCUGCUCCCAGCCACCCACCCCUCCUGUGAGGUCAGUCAGGUCCCUUUGCUAAGAUCCCUGUCCCUGUACUGGACAGGCGGCUGCCCUGGGUGGGGCAGUGGUGAGGCUGUGGCAGUACAGGUGGCAUGGUGAUGGGCAGCCGCAGCAGCCUUUCUGUGAAGUGCAAUACCAGCUAUUCCAGGGUGGGCAGCCGGGUUUAGCACACGCCCAGGAAGUCAAGUUGGAGUUCAGUUCAGAUAAACGGGGAGCAGUUAAUUAAUGUAAGUUACUCUCAAAUAUUUAAUGGAAUAUACUUGUACUAGAAGACUAUGGGGGUUCACAUGAAAGUCAAGUCUGAGCACAGCCGUUUCUGUUUCGUCUGCAACCUACCUGGAGGCUCCAUGAGAAGAGGGUUCUGUGGCAGGUUUGGAAGUAGUGUUCUCUAGAUUCCUUUCAGGGGGCCGUGGGGCCUGUGGAGUUAGCAAAGACAACUUUGGCAGUGAAAACAGGUACACACAUACAUAGACGUGUAUGUAUGUCUCCUGGUUUUUAUUUACAAAAGCUCCCCACAAGGGUCUGACUUCUGAGCCUCGGCAUGUCCUCUCAUGGAGCCCCUUGGGAGGUGCCCCACCCAGUCCUUGCCCCAGGUCUCCUGCCCACCUCUGCCUGUCAGGCUGAGGAGGGCCUGGGAGGCAGGUGCCUCUGCUGUGUUGCAACUGCCUUCUUGUGCUUGCUUUUUAAUGCUGCGCCCGAAGAUGAGGAGCGGGAAGGCCUCCUGUGCCCUGGAGACCGUCUGGGAGGACAAGCACAAGUAUGAGGAGGCCGAGCGGCGCUUCCAUGAGUGGGAGGCCACGCAAGCCGCCGCCUCUGCCCAGCAGCUCCUGACACAGGUGCCAGCCGUGAACGGGCCCGGUCAGGAGGACACCGAGGAGGCCAGCGAGGCAGGGGCCCCCGAUACCAGCAGCAGCAGCAGCAGCGAUCCCAGGAAGAGCCGUGACAGCAAGAAGCCCCUGCAGAAGAAGAGGAAGCGCUCCCCUAAGAGCUGGCUCGGCCAGGUGGACCUGGCCCUCAUGGGCCUCUCAGCCGAUCACGUGUGGCUGGACAAGCCACUCUUCGACCAGGCAGAAAGUUCCUACCGCCAGAGGCUGGCAGAUGUGGCCGCCCAGGCAGCCCAGCUGCCUGCCCUGGCCCCUUGGGGUCCCUGCACACAUGGGAACCAGGUGGCCUGUCACCACGUGACCUGGGGAGUCUGGGUCAACAAGUCUUCCUUUGACCAGGCCGAGCGAGCUUUUGUGGAGCGGUCUCAGAGCCUGCUGCUGACCGCAGAGGGGAGCUGCAGGCUGGGGGCUCCUGAUGCGGGCCAGCUGCUGGCCACUCCCAGCCUGGCCCUGGUUCACCAGCCCAGCCCACCAGCCAACGGCCAGCCUCCUCUGGGCACCCUACAGGCACUGGUCUGGGAGGUGUGGCUGGAGAAGCCCCGGUAUGAUGCUGCCGAGAGGGGCUUCUAUGAAGCCCUGUUUGAUGGCCAUCCUCCCAGGAAGGUGCGCCUACAGGAGCGAGCUGGCCAGGCAGAGGGCACCCGGCGGGGCCGCAGAGACCGGCGGGGCCGCAACCCCGUAGGAAGCAAGAGGGCCGGGCCACGGCGGGCUGAUGGGGAGGCCCCUUCCGCCUUGCCUUACUGGUACUUCCUGCACAAGGAUGCUGAGGCCCCCUGGCUCAGCAAGCCCUCCUAUGACAGCGCUGAGUGCCGCCACCAUGCUGCCGAGGCCCUGCGCAUGGCCUGGCGCCUUGAGGCCGCCUCCUUGGCUCACCGAACUGGGCCCCGCUCUGGCCCAUCCAUGUCCAGCCUGAGACCCAAGUAGGAGACCUGUGCUCUUGGGCACCCAGUCCGGCCUGGGCUGCAGGCAGAGGGACUGCCACCCCCAGCCUGGGCCCCUCAUGCUUUCCUCCCCACCCUUCCCCUGGGUGGGGGCACUCCAGUUACCUGAGGACCUGGCCAAGUUGAAUGUGGGGUGGGCGGGCAAAGCUGGUGUGUCUGUCCUGGAGGUGGCAGUUCUAAACUGUUGAGGUUGGUCGGGGAAGAUGUCAUCAUUGGGCAGAUACCCUGGUGAGGUAUGGGGGCCAUGGUGGCAAGCCCGGCCACUGGGUGUGCCUGCCUCUGAGGUAAGGUGGGCAUCAGAUUGAGAGUUGGUGGCUCGUCUAGCAGCCUCUGUCUAAAGGACUCCUUGCGGAGGGAGACCUCCUUCAGCCUGGGAACCAAGUGGCCUUGUUCCAGGAUAGGUGGACAUAGACCCAGCAGUGGAGGCUGGAGGCCUGGGUUUUGGGUCAGUGCCUGGUCAUAGAAUGCAUCCCCCACAGCUGCUGGACCUGGGCAGAUGAUGGGUGAGGUGGGUGGACACAGAGGGAAUAUGAAGGGUCUCAACCAGUUGCCUGGGCCUCCUAGGAACAAUACCCUUUGGGCCCUGAGUGCUGGGGGAAGGUGUGCAACUUCCUGCCUGCACCCACCUGUCCUGGUGACCUGGCUGCAUGCAGGUCGUCCUAGGUGAGGGCAGUAAAGGAGACGCAGGGUUGUUUCUCUUGGGAGAGGGCACUUGGUGAGGCCCAGUGAUAGUAUGGGGUCCCUGGCACAGAGAAUUGAUGGCAGCGCCAGACAGGUCUGUCUGUAGUACUUGGCAGGACAGCUGGAGAAAAAGAGUAGAUCAACUGAAGGGCCAGAGACCCAGUGAGGCCUGGCGUGCAGAGAUGGGACUGGACAUGGCCUGUGGGCCAUAGUUUGCUGGACUUGGCCAGAGCAGUGGUUCUCAAACUUUUUGGUCUUGGGACCCUGAAGAGCUUUUGUAUCUAUUGAUGUUUACAUCUUGGCUAUUAAAGCAAAUUACAAGUACCAAAAGUAUAUAUUUACUGAAGGAAAAAAAGCUUUUUGCUUUGCUUUUGCACAUUAGUGCCCAAAACAUGUUGUCAAAAAUACCUUUCCUGUAGCAAGAUGAUUCAGAAAGCAGAGUGGCCUUGUUCUACCUUGUUGCAAUCUCCCUUGGUCUGUCUGGGUCAGAGUUCUGUAUUCUCAUGGCAGCAGCUGCUUCUGCCCUCAACUGCAGAAAUUGACUGAUUUUGAAAGGGAGCACCUUAGGGCUGGGGAUGUCGCUCAGUGGUAGAGCACUUGCCUGGCACUCAUGCCCUGAGUUUAAUCCCCAGAAUUGUUUAAAAAAAAGAAGAAGAUGAGGAGGAGGAGAGGAAUUUUGGGGAUCCCCAGAGGAUUUUGGACCAACUUUGAGACCCACUGGCCAGAGGACAAGCCUAUGGACCCCAUCGAGGCCCUGGGGGAAACCCUUACGGGGUGGGAGGAGAGGAUGAUGUGUUGGUGUGGCCACUUAUGUGCAGAGGGCCCUUGUGGGCUUCGUGUCGUCAUGCCGAGGAUCACUUGUGUUUUCCCUGGGUUCUGGAGCCUCUCACCCAGGACUGGUGGUCUAUGGGCCAGAAGGACUGGGCAGGCCCAGAGUUGACAUCUGGGACUUCACGGAAGGAGGGUGUUACAGCCCACCCAGCACCCUGUUGCUUCUGGGCCACUCCCCAGGCAGGGUGGUUCAGGCUUGGGGGCUUGUGGUGAAGGUGAGGCCCGCACUGACUGGGACCCCCUUUUCCCAGCCAUUCUGACCUUACCUCUCCUCCUGCUCCCAGCAGAAAAAUGGCUACAAACUUUCUAGUGCAUGAGAAGAUCUGGUUUGACAAGUUCAAAUACGAUGAUGCAGAAAGGAAGUUCUAUGAGCAGAUGAAUGGGCCUGUGGCUGGUGCCUCCCGCCAGGUGAGGGAAUGCUUGGGGCCACCAGGUGGCUCUGCUGCUCAGUAGGAGUGGCUGCAGCCUGCAAAGAGGUUGCUGGCAAGGUCGGGUGGGUAGUGGCACGUCUGGGCCAAGUAGCUCUUCUCAGGGUGCUGGGAGUGGCGUCUGCUCUUGGCUCCUGCCCCAACACAGGACAGCAUGCUUCUGAUGCUCCCAGGCAGUGGGGGGCCAGGCUGCAGACACCGCACUUGAGACCCUGUGGUCCUGUCCUUGAAUCCUGCUUUUCACUGCCCCUGGAACUUUCAUUCUGUGCAGUUCUUUCUUGCUUUCUGAGUGACGAUUCUUGGGAGUGGGUGUGGGUGUGGUGUGUGUGUAUGUAUGUGUGUGUGUUUAAACAACAAAAAAGAGAGAGACUGGUUCUUUCUGCACUGUCUGCAGGAGAAUGGUGCCAGCGUGAUCCUCCGCGACAUUGCAAGAGCCAGAGAGAACAUCCAGAAAUCCCUGGCCGGAGUGAGUACCCACGGCCCACAUAUACGUGGGCUCGUGCUCGGCCAAACCGCACGUCAGUUUUGUUUUGUUUUUUUCCCUCUUGGUACUACUGACUGUUUUGGUCCUGUGGAUCAAAGUUAGGGUACUGCGUGCAGUGCUGUGUUCUUGCAGGACCCAAACUUCCACAGAGAUGAUCUUUUGGUUUCCACCUUUACACACACCCCUCACCUGUUUGCUGGUGGUCACCCUGGCCACUCCCUUGGUGUCAACCCUGGGCCGCUGGCUGAGUGGUUCAAGACACACACUGGGUACACUCUGGAAGCCUGUGUCCUCCUGCUUGCUCCCUGCUGAAGGAGUGUGUGUGUCUACCAAGCCACAAUCUAGUGGCUUUCCCCAGGGAAAGAACGGUGGCUCACAGGGUGUGUUGCAUUUUAGAUCAGAGCUGGCACCUGCUUGGCCUCUAGGCCCCAGACUGAGGAGGAAUGGCGAGCUCUGUCCCGCUCUGGCUUGGCAGGCUGGAUGGGGAAGGUGUGCCCUUCAGAUGGAGGACAGAUCUGCUGCUCUGGCUUCCCUACUCUAGGGAAGUCAGGGCCUCAUUCUGGGAUGUGGGUGAUGUCCUGUCCUGAGGGCUGGGUUCCAGUUUCCCAUUGGCUGUUGUAAUGGGUUACUCCAUGAUUUGUGCUUAAAACCAAACUUGGGGCUGGGGAUAUAACUCAGUUGGUAGAGUUGCUUGCCUUGCCUGCACAGGGCCCUGGGCUCAAUCUCUAGCACCACCAAAACAAAACAAAACCCCACAAACUUACCCUCUAUCAUGGUCCAGAGGUCCAUACAUCCAAAACGGAUGUCAGAGCUAAAGCCCUGGUGCCCACAGAGUUGUGAUCCUUCUGAGGCUCUAAGAGCAUCCAUCCCUGCCUUUGCCAGAUUUCAGAACUCGCCACACUCUUGGCUUAUGGCUCUGGCCUGCACUUUUACGGUGGUGGUGGUGCUGGGGAUUGAACUCGGAGCCUUGGGCAUGUGAGACAAGCACUCCACCAAGUGAGCUACAUCCCCUUUUUUAAACUUUUUUUUUUUUUUGGCUAGCAAUAGACCUUCAUUUUAUUUAUGUGUGGUGCUGAGGAUUGAACCCAGUGCCUCACAACGUGCCAAGCAAGUGCUCCACCACUGGGCCACAACCCCAGCCCCAGCAUAUCCUUUUUGUUUUUAUUUUUGGUACAAGGGAUUGGACCCAGGGACACUUAACCAUUGAACAACACCCCAGGCCUUUUAUAUUUUAGAGACAAGGUCUACCUAAUUUUCUUAGGGCCUCACUAAGUUGCUGAGGUAAGCUUUGAACUCUCAAUUCUCCUGCCUCAGCCUCCCAAACCACAGAGAUUACAGUCAAGUGCCACUGUGCCUGGCCCUUCUUGUCUUCUAAAAACGUAACCUUGGGGUUGGGGCUGUGGCUUAGUGGUAUAGCUCUUGAUAACUAAACAAAUAUACUAAAAAAAAAAAAAAAAUUUAAGUGAAUUUGGUCAUAUUUGCUAAUUCCCUUUGCCAUGUAAGGUAACAGAUUCACAGGCUUAUGUUAUCUUUGGGGGUGGGAGACAUCUCUGUCUACCAUAGUCCACUGUAUCACUUCAGCAGGUCACCUGAGUUAGGCUUGGGGAGUUGUGCUGUGGUAUCUGCUCCCCAGGUACAGUUGUGGGACAGGUGUAGAGUAGAAAUUCUCAUUCAGAAAGAGUUCAAGCUAGCUCAGGAUUGAGCCAGGCAAACUGCAUGGGGUUCGAAGGCCUGUGGCUUAGGACCCUGCCUGGAGACCAUCUUGCCAGAGACCACUUGUAGCUGAGGGACUUCAGCAGCCUUCUUGCCUGUGAAUGUUGGGGUCCUACAGCCUCCUUUGACUUCAUCUUGUCUCUGUUCCUUUGGUCCAAGCUGGUAGGGGUUCUGCUGAUACAAACUUCUUGAGGUUUGUGGGUCCCUCUGUAUGCCACAGGGUCUGCUCCAUGAUAGUCUUCUGCAGGUCUUCAGUGGAUCAUCUCAUUCCAUUCUUGGCUCCUGUUGAGCUGGCUGAGAAGAGCCAUAAGUCAAGCUCCUGAUCUCUGGGUGGGCAUGUAAAUCCUCUGACUUGUGUCUCUUUCCUGGAUACCAGCCACCGCCGGCUCUCUCCAGAGCGUGCUUUCCUGGCAUGAGUCACCUCGCUAGUGUCUUGCAGUCUCGAGGCUCUGUGAAUUCCCCAGACCAUCAAGUCCUUCCUCUCUUUUCCUCAUCUUGCUGUAAGGGUCACAAAGCUAACCUGUGCCUUCCAGACUUGGCUCAGGAAUCUCAGUGGAAGGUCAGCUUCCUUCAUCUAGGAGUCCUGCUUUCUGCGCCCUGCCUGAUACAUGGAGCCAGCCUGUCCUCCAAUGCCCCUACCCUCUCUGGUGAUGCAUACUUCUGUCACCUAAGCUCACUGCAGCAUCUGCCAGUAGUGUUCUCCAAGGUGAUGCUGCUUCUCACCCUCUUCCCAGGCUUUUGCCUCCACAGCCUGCUCAAGGGAGCCAGGAUUUUUCUGUCAUGCUUCACAGAGGCCUUCCAGCCUUACUGUUGCCAAUUCUACAGCCACUUCCACAUUUCUAGGGACUUUUAGCAGCACCCCCCCCCCCCUUGUAGAAGCCAAGGCCUGUUUUCUAGUUGCUGGCACUGUAACAAAUUGCCACAAUCUAGUGGUUAAAAUGGUAUGCAUUUAUUAUCCUGUGGUUCCGGGAUCAGAAGUCUGAAACGUGUCUUAGGAGGCAGUGUCUUAGCUGUCUGCAGGUUCCUUCUGAAGUCUCUAGAGAAAUUCCAUUCUGUCUGCCUUAGCACAGGCUCUCUUCAGCUGCCCAUCACUCCGGCCUCCCCUCUGGCUCCUCUUCCUUGCACAAAGCCUUGUGGUGACCUUAGGCCUACCCUUAUCUCCAGGUCCUUAAUGCCCUCUGCAGAAUCCACUUUGCCAUGUGAGCCAGUGUUACAGGCUCUGGGCAUUUGUAUGGCAUUCAUAUGGUAAGUCUGGGGGCCAGUCUGUCUGGCACAGCUGGCACAUGGGCUCCUGGGAGCAGUGCCACCACUGUAUGAUGGUUCCUGCUUCAUGCUUGGCUUCUCUCCCAACACACACACUUUUUUUCCCCUCUCUUUCCCCCUAUGCUGAGGGUGGAACCCAGGACCUCAGGCUUGCUAGCAAGCACUCUUAUCAUUGAGCUACAUCCCAUCCCUUUUUUUGAGAUGAGUUUUGCUUAGUUGCCAAAGCUUGCCUUGGACUUUUGAUGUUCCUGCCUCAGCCCCCCAAGCAGCUGGUAUUACAGGCCUGGCCACCGUGCCCAUGCUUGGUUCCGUGUUGUCCUUGCCUUUUACCUGAUCUCAUCUCAGCAGUCCUAGAUCCCAACCCUUCACCCCAGUUCAGUCCAGGAAGACCCUCACAGACUACUGCACUGGAAUCAGGCACACUGAGCUCCAGCAUCCAGAGGGUCAGACCCGGCUGGUGGCUCUGGGGCUGCAGGAAGUCUUCCCGCCUGCCUGACUGGCCAUCCCUGGAGCCAGCCCAGGCUGUGUGGAGACAGAGUGAGACCAUUCCCACAUCCUGUGCUAACUUGUGCCUCUUCCAGAGGGACCUUUUCCUUUUCCUCAGGCCUGUUGUAUAUGGUGGGUGAGGCCCCAGGCUCCCAGGCCCUGCCACUCACAGACUGGAAUGGGCACCAGUCCCCAGGGCAUAGCCCCAUUCCUUGCCCUGGAAACAGCCUUGGCACUCUAGCUAGCUUCCACUCUCAGGUGGGUCUCCUGAGCCUCACUUUGAUUGCCAUCCCUGCCCAAAUUCUGCUCUGUGUCACUCAGCUCCCACAGGGGGGACACUCACUGUCUUCCCAAGAGCUAUGAUAGGACCCAGGGGCCCGCGUGCUGUGCAAUGGGCAGAGGCCUGAAUCCUGCCUCCUGCUGAAAGGAUUAGGUUCUGCUGUGGAGCAGAUCCUGAGAAAGGCCCUCCCAUCCUUCUGGAGGAUCCCAUCCCAUUUGCAAGAACCAUUAGGCUAGGACUCGUGCACCCCCUGACCUGUUAUGUAGUUCCCUGCCCCCUUGGCCUAAGGACCGCAACAUCUGGAGGUAGUCUAGAAGCUAGGUAGGCCCUAUGGGGGGAGCCUGCCCUAUGGUUAAGUGGAACCUUCACAGGUCAGCUCUGGCUGACAUGGUGCAUACCUGUAGUCCCAGCAACUUGGGAGGCUGAGGCAGAAGGAUCGAGGCCAGGCAGGGCUACUUAAUGAGGCCUCAAAAAUAAAAUGAAAGUGGCUGGGAAUGUAGCUCAGUGGUAGAGUGUCCUGGGUUCAAUCCCCAGUUGAGGGGGGUGAGGGUUGGGAGGCAAGGGGCUGGACUAGUGGCCUCCUGCACGCUUGCUCCUUCCCCAUUGGCCCCUCAACUGCUCUCCCCUCCCAUUUCCAGCUCAAGGUGGUGCUGCCCGGCCCCCCUGAAGCCCUGAGCCAGGCUGCCCCUGGGACUGUAAGUCCUGCUGCCUCCUGUCCAGCUACUGAGCAGUGACAACCCUGAGCUGCUGCUGUGUUUCGGCUGCCACAGGCCCCCUGCUUCUUGUCCUGUGCUCGUGCUUGACUGAGAAUGUUACUGUGGCUGUGCAGCCACCCUCCCUGAGGUUAACAGGUCUUCACACCCUCGAGGGUGGGCCUCAGCAGGGAGGACUAUCCUGAGCCUCUUGCCCAGGAUGGCACUCUGCUUCUGAGUGGCUGAUUGAGGGGCCCUAGGCACAGCUGGGGCACUGAGCUCCCCUGCCCUUCCCUUCCCUUGCCUUGCAGAGCUCAGGCCCUGGGGCCUCUGGCGGGCCUGGUGGAGACCACAGCGAGCUGGCUGUACGCAUUGCCAGCCUGGAAGUAGAGAACCAGAACCUGCGAAGUGGUGAGGCCUGGGCUGAUGGUUGGGUCCCUCCCCACCCCAGACCUGCCAUCCGACCCUGUCCCCUUGUACCCACAGUGGUGCAGGACCUGCAGCAGGCCAUUGCUAGGCUGGAGGCCCGGCUGAGCAUGCUGGAGAAGAGCUCGCCCGCCCACCGAGCCACAGCCCCUCAAACCCAGGUGAGCACCCUCCUGGCUCACACCUCUUGCUGUGGUCAGCAGUGAGGUAGUAGGGCCCAGAAAGGUUCAUGGUGCCCAGGCUGACCCCCAAGUCAGGGUGGAGGGAGCUUGUCCUCACCUGGGGGGGCAGUUCCUGUGGACCCAGAGCCCAGGCCCUUGGGAUGCCUAGGGUCAGCAGAGAGGAGAGGCCUGGCUGGGUCUCAGCCUCUCCUCACCUGUGGCAGCACGUGUCUCCCAUGCGCCAAGUGGAACCCCCAGCCAAGAAGGCUGCCACACCUGCAGAGGACGACGAGGACAAUGAUAUUGACCUGUUUGGCAGCGGUGAUGAGGAGGAGGACAAGGAGGCAGCUCGGCUGCGGGAGGAAAGGCUGCGGCAGUAUGCAGAGAAGAAGGCCAAGAAGCCCUUGCUGGUGGCCAAGUCUUCCAUCCUCCUGGAUGUCAAACCUGUGAGUGGGAGUAGGGAGGGACUCGGGGAGGGCAGGAGUCCCCUCAACCGGCAGGAUAUAGUGGCCUGCCCACAGCCUCAGCCUCUGACUCUUCCUGGUGGGAAGUCAAGAUUAGAAAUCUUGGGAUAAGAACAGAAACUUGGGGCCAGGCGGGUGUAAGUGGGGCUGUUUCCAAGAGCCCUUCAAAAGAAGCAGAGUUAUGUCUUCGUGGUGGUUCAAGGCCAAAGAGGGGUGGGCUCUCCCCUGGUGCUCUGGGGGUUUCUGGGUGGCUCACUCUGCCUUCCUCCACUCUCUCACAGUGGGAUGAUGAGACAGACAUGGCCCAGCUGGAGGCCUGUGUGCGCUCCAUCCAGCUGGAUGGGCUGCUCUGGGGUGGCUCUCAGCUGGUGCCUGUGGGCUAUGGCAUCCGCAAGCUGCGGAUCCAGUGUGUGGUGGAGGAUGACAAGGUGGGCACCGACCUGCUGGAGGAGCAGAUCACCAAGUUUGAGGAGCACGUGAGUAAGGGGCAAGGGGUGAUGAGCAGUUGGGCGGAACCUGGGAUCCCACUGCUGCACUUGCUGCCCCAUCGGUGAUGAAUGAGUCCCUGAAUGGAGCCCCACUGCGCUCCUACUGCACAGGCACUGGAGCGAGUGGGCCUUGGGGAAACGAGCCUCUGAUGGUACCCAUUUCUUCCACAGGUGCAGAGUGUCGACAUUGCAGCUUUCAACAAGAUCUGAGCCAAGCACACAUUGUGUGAGGCCCUACAGAGAUUAAAGACUGAGACUCGGCACUCUGACUCCUGUCCUGUUAUUUGGUUGGCCCCAGACCUACACUUGUCCCUGAUGGUCUCUGCCCCUGCACUGCCCCUCC